UUAAGUUCAGCGGGUAGUCCUACCUGAUUUGAGGUCAGAUUUCAAAAAGUUGACCGCCACCCUUGAGAGGCAGUCGGGGAAGGGCACAAGAGGGGAACGUCUCUGUCGAGCGAGGAUGGUACAACGCCCAGUCGAGUUCGACCCACUGGCCCAACCGAUGCAUUUGAGGGGAGCCGCCUGACGGCAGCAGAGCCCCCACA
rnacentral:misc_RNA from 1 species